UACUUUGCCGCUGUACUGGCCAUUCCUUACUAAUGCCAGCUAUUUUCAUUGUGCUGCUGAUUUCACAUACGUUAAAAAUAGAACAGACACCCUCUCUCUCUUCGUUCAACUCUCUUACCUUGUCACUCAGACAUAGCCUGACCAUAAACCUGUAGAUAAAUCAGGAACCUACUGGGGGAAAAGCUCUUUACUAAACAUCGCUCCUUAUCUGAAACAAACAUACUCACACGUGUGCUGUUCUGUGACGAUCAAUAAGACAGAUAAAUGAUAACUCAGUGGGUUGAAGCUGACUCAUACAGUCUCAUUGUGUUCUCUUCUAGCACUCGGAGGUCAGGAUAUCACUGAUGGGAAUCUGUGUGAGACCCAAACAUCAAUGAUUGGUGUGAUUGGAGGCCAGCGGUAAAGAUGGCCAGAUCCACAUGGCCAGGAGUCGUAUGCGGUUUAGCACACUGCAUUCAGUGAUGGCUGAUUGUUAUCAACGUCGCUGUCUCCAGAUCUCAGUAACAUUUAUCGAACUGUCCGUCAGUUUCCAGUCUUGUCAUUCUUCCUAUUUCUGACCAACCUCCUGUGCUUGCAGUUUCUUUUCAUUCUACUGCUGCUGAGCUGUAAGUUGCAAGCUACAUAUAAAGUAAGUUCAUGUGGUUCAUCACCAUAUCACAUCAAAUAGAGACUGUGUCUGUUCUCCGUAUUGCCAAAAGAAUAUUUUGUCUGUGUGCAGCAGGAAGUACUUGAAGUGGAUCAAUGCCUGCAGGACUGCCAGAAGCUCCAGGUGGGUGACGUAGUAGCUCCUCAUCAGUGUUGUUCUCAUAAUGAAUCUUGCCAUUGGAAAGUUUCUCUCACCUUGCAAAAUUGUCUCUUUUAGCCAAUAUGGCAAUGGUGGUAUUUCCGCUCCCUAUCUCAUCUGCUGGGACCCUGCUGAGUGACUAUACUGGGAAACUUGAAGUUCCAUCUCUGUUUGUGUAUUUAACUGCACAAUAACAACAUAAAAAUACAAAACACUUUCCCACUGAAUAAAAUGUGAAACAGAACAAAAAAAAAGUUAUAGUUUAUAGGAACCUUUAUUAUAACAUGCAGCUAAAACGAAUUUCUUAAUGCCUCAACCACCUUAAUAUUUAAAAGAGAACUGUGAAACAAGUGACCAAAGAUUCCAGACACAAAUCUUUAACAAUAGUAUUCAAUUAUAUAAGUUUAACUCAUAAACAUUGUACUCUUUUAGGGUAAAAUGUUUUGGGAUACAUAGGUUAAAUAGGACUGAAAAAGAGAGAAAAAAAAAAAAAAAAGAUCACACAAAUACUUCAAACCUUGCAGAGAGACAUACAAGGACAACAAAUGAUUCUGACAAUGCAUUCUUCAUGUGCUGCAGGAAAUCCAGCACUAAAUUAAAGUAUCCCUCCCUUCUCCAAGAAGUCUUGUUGCAGCAGACCCGUCCAGUCUGAAAAAUGUCUCAUUUGACCUUAACUCUUAAUAUCAACAAUCCUUUGUAGUGAGAUUUCAUCCAAAAUGACUUUAUAUAACCAUUCAAAAGUUUGGGGUUGGUACGACCAAGGCUACAUUUAUUUGAUUUUAAACAGUGAAAUCAGUAAUAUUGUGAAAUAUACAAUUUAAAAAACUGUUUUUUUGUUUUAAUAUAUUUUUAAAAUGUAAUUUACUAAUAUACUGUAUAUAAAUAUAACCUAUAUAUAUACAUACAUACAUACAUACAUAUACACACACACUACAAAAAUAUCAUUAUACACAUACUAUAAAAUCUCUAAAAAUAUCUAUUAGCAGACAACGUAGUCCAAAUAAAUCAAAUGCAACAGAAUGCCAUUUGCCUUAAUCACAAUUUAUUUCAUAAUGUACUGAAUCACAAGUACAUUUCGGUGUAAAACACCAGUAACAAUUGCAAUGAACAGAUUGAAUUGCACAGGAAUAGGUGAGAAAUGUUUUGAGCAAAGUUGGCUGAUGUAACAAUGAUCAUGAGUUCAAUUCCACACCAACCCCAUAUAUUAUACUGACUGACAAAUAAUUCAACUCCAAAACUAAUUCCAGUACUCCAUUGUCAUCCAUUAUUCUACCCGUAUGACAAAAUCUUUUCUUCGGAUUAAAAGCUAUCCUCAUGCUUAAAGAAGUCAGUCUAAACAUAAUGUCUGGCUGGCAGUGAUAAAUAGUACACGAAGUUAUAUUUUAGGAAAGGAAAAUAUAAAACAGGAUAUGACUACAAUUAACACUUGAGACGGGAUAGAGGAAGAAGAUCCCACCCACUGCCCCAAAUUCACUAUCAGAAUUGACUUCUAACUGCUUGCUUCUUUUUAACAGUCAUUUUUUUUAGUUCAGCAAAGGCUGAAUUGAAGAUAAAACUGUGUAGAGCACCAGAAUACAGUCUAAACUUAAUUUACAAUAUUUCAUAUUUUGAGGCUUUUGGAUUAAUAGAUUAAAUGAUUUUGAAAAGUGUUUGAAAAUAUAAAGGUGCAUUGCUUGUAAGCUGAAGUAGUAGACUAAUUAGAUCCCAAAAAUCAUUAAAAAGGUAGUUAAAAACUGGUAACUUUGCAGCUAAUAAAAAGUAGUAAAAUGAUUAGAGCAGCUAAUGCUAUGAAGUGUCCAUGUGCAUGAAUCUAGAACAUAUUUCUCGAGUUGAACAUGGUUGGCAGGGUGGAUUGAAAUUUACAGACAC
ensembl:lncRNA